rnacentral:rRNA from 1 species
UACGGGGGGAGCAAGCGUUGUUCGGAUUUACUGGGCGUAAAGGGUGCGUAGGCGGCGCGGUAAGUCGGGUGUGAAAUCUUGGAGCUUAACUCCGAAACUGCAUUCGAUACUGCCGUGCUUGAGGACUGGAGAGGAGACUGGAAUUUACGGUGUAGCGGUGAAAUGCGUAGAUAUCGUGAGGAAGACCAGUGGCGAAGGCGGAUCUCUGGACAGUUCCUGACGCUGAGGCGCGAAGGCCAGGGGAGCAAACGGG